rnacentral:rRNA from 1 species
CAGUCGCCGCGGUAAUACGGAGGGUGCAAGCGUUAAUCGGAAUUACUGGGCGUAAAGCGCACGCAGGCGGUCUGUCAAGUCAGAUGUGAAAUCCCCGGGCUUAACCUGGGAACUGCAUUUGAAACUGGCAGGCUAGAGUCUUGUAGAGGGGGGUAGAAUUCCAGGUGUAGCGGUGAAAUGCGUAGAGAUCUGGAGGAAUACCGGUGGCGAAGGCGGCCCCCUGGACAAAGACUGACGCUCAGGUGCGAAAGCGUGGGGAGCAAACAGGAUUAGAUACCCGAGUAGUCCCUGUCUCUUAUAA